CUCGUGCGGCGGCACGGUCAUGCCAUUUCCCCAUGUUGCUCAUGACUGCAUGGUCUUCAGGCCCUUCACGCGGUUGUUUCGAGCGUCAGGCCGUGCCCUGAGCAAAUCGGACGUCUUAGCACCCUCUUCUUCUGUGCUCUUAUCGUGCCGAGGAUGGGUCGGUGGUUCGUACAAAU
rnacentral:snoRNA from 1 species